rnacentral:rRNA from 1 species
GACGAACGCUGGCGGCGUGCUUAACACACGCAAGUCGAACGGUAAGGCCCUUCGGGGUACACGAGUGGCGAACGGGUGAGUAACACGUGGGUGAUCUGCCCUGCACUUCGGGAUAAGCCUGGGAAACUGGGUCUAAUACCGGAUAGGACCAUGCGCUUCCCGGUGUGGGGUGGAAAGCUUUUGCGGCGUGGGAUGGGCCCGCGGCCUAUCAGCUUGUUGGUGGGGUAAUGGCCUACCAAGGCGACGACGGGUAGCCGGCCUGAGAGGGUGACCGGCCACACUGGGACUGAGAUACGGCCCAGACUCCUACGGGAGGCAGCAGUGGGGAAUAUUGCACAAUGGGCGCAAGCCUGAUGCAGCGACGCCGCGUGAGGGAUGGCGGCCUUCGGGUUGUAAACCUCUUUCAGUAGGGACGAAGCGCAAGUGACGGUACCUACAGAAGAAGGACCGGCCAACUACGUGCCAGCAGCCGCCGUAA